rnacentral:rRNA from 1 species
CAGCGGAGGAAAAGAAACCAAAAGGGAUUCCCCCAGUAACGGCGAGUGAAAAGGGACCAGCCCAGCGCAAAGGCCGCUCAUCCUCACGGGUGCUGCGUGCGAUGCUGCGUUAAUGCCGGGGCGACAGCCUCACCGGCGACCGUGCGUGCAAGUUCCUUUGAAUAGGACCAACUAACCCACAGCGGGUGGAAGGCCCAUAGCGCGUCACGGCCGUCAUCGAGCUAGCCUCGGCAUGGUAGAGUCACGUUGCUUGAGAGUGCAGCGUAAAGACGGGAGGUAAACUCCUCGUAAGGCUAAAUAAGACUGCGAGACCGAUAGCAAACAAGUACCGUGAGGGAAAGUUGCAAAGAACUUUGAAGAGAGAGUUCAAAAGGACGUGAAACCGCUUGCGGGUAAACGGGUGGAGCCACGAAGUCAGAACGGCGCGGAGAUUCAGCCGUCGACGGGGUGUAGGUGUGAGUAGUGGGGGCCCUCGUGGUCACACUGCCCACGCUGCUGAUGCCUCGCCGACGGUGCACUUCUCGCGGUGCCGGGACGAUGCUCUGACUGUUUGGAUCGCUGCGACAGCUGGUAACGGGAGUCCAGCGGGCAGGUAGCGGCAAGGCGGCUUCGGCUGCCGCGCCGUGUUAUAGCCCGCUGCUCGGAACUUGUCGCAGAACGCCGAACAAAUGAAGUUGCCUUCGGGCAUAGCAGAUGGGGGGUUCGGAGAGCGGUGCGGCGGCUACGGUGAUGUGUGCGAUGCUACGGCGGCCUCGGUCGUUGUGCUCGUGCCUUCGCUUGGCCAACGCGCUGCUCCCCACACCCCCUGGACGCCUUCGAGAG